rnacentral:rRNA from 1 species
AGUGAACGCUGGCGGUAGGCCUAACACAUGCAAGUCGAACGGCAGCACAGUAAGAGCUUGCUCUUACGGGUGGCGAGUGGCGGACGGGUGAGGAAUACAUCGGAAUCUACUUUUUCGUGGGGGAUAACGUAGGGAAACUUACGCUAAUACCGCAUACGACGUACGGGUGAAAGCAGGGGAUCUUCGGACCUUGCGCGAUUGAAUGAGCCGAUGUCGGAUUAGCUAGUUGGCGGGGUAAAGGCCCACCAAGGCGACGAUCCGUAGCUGGUCUGAGAGGAUGAUCAGCCACACUGGAACGGAGACACGGUCCAGACUCCUACGGGAGGCAGCAGUGGGGAAUAUUGGACAAUGGGCGCAAGCCUGAUCCAGCCAUACCGCGUGGGUGAAGAAGGCCUUCGGGUUGUAAAGCCCUUUUGUUGGGAAAGAAAAGCAGCAGGCUAAUACCCCGCUGUUCUGACGGUACCCAAAGAAUAAGCACCGGCUAACUACGUG